UUAAUUUUAUACUAUAAGAAAAUUUUAUAUUUUUGGAGUCCAAUUGUGAAGUUUAACCAAAGUAACCAAUGAGAUCAAUUCCUGCUUCACCCCAGGCGUGGCUUUCAUUCCCCACUCCACGCGUCCCCAUUCCUCCUUUUUGUUACACGUUGUAACUCCUACUCACAAUUUUUCCAACUACUUAUUUUGCAAACAAAAUAGAGAGCAGAGGUGAGAGGUUCAGUCAUCAACUUUAGAGUGGAUACCAAGUCUUCAAACAAUUCUCCCUCAAGAAAGAAACGAGAGUUAAGACUUAGCUUUGAAGCUGAGAGGACCGAUUGCUGCCGAGCUGUGAUGUUGCGGCGCCAAGCGACGACAGCGAACGGCGAUGAUGCAGCACGGUGGCGGAGAAACAACAUGAAUCAAUGACGGAGGUCCUCGAUUUGGGUGUCGGAACUUGGGAGCAAAUAUCGGGAGAAAGAGAGGGAGAUGGAGAGGAGCGCCGCCGGAGGCGGUGACGGACGGCAGCGCUGGGGCAUGAUGGCCGCGGCAGUAGCUGGUAGUGAGAAGUGGGAACUUCUCUCACAUCAAAUUAGGAUGAUGGAGAUGAAGUGGGUACUCAUUUGUGUGUGUUAUUUUGAUUGUUGGGCUAGGAAAUACUAAUUCAUUUGACUAAUUGAAUGGAAAAGUUUAAAUCCGGGCCCAACUCCUUUUAAUAAAUUUGGGGGCUGCGGUAAAUAUACCAAGGAGGCCCAGUUUCAAAAA